rnacentral:rRNA from 1 species
UACGUAGGGGGCAAGCGUUGUCCGGAAUCAUUGGGCGUAAAGAGCGUGUAGGCGGCCCGAUAAGUCCGCCGUGAAAGCCCAGGGCUCAACCCUGGGAUGCCGGUGGAUACUGUCGGGCUAGAGUUCGGAAGAGGCAAGUGGAAUUCCUGGUGUAGCGGUGAAAUGCGCAGAUAUCAGGAAGAACACCCGUGGCGAAGGCGGCUCUCUGGGACGGUACUGACGCUGAGACGCGAAAGCGUGGGGAGCAAACAGG